GGAGUUUGGACCGUGUCUCAGUUCCAAUGUGGGGGACCUUCCUCUCAGAACCCCUACUGAUCGUUGGCACGGUGGGCCGUUACCCCGCCGUCUACCUAAUCAGACGCAUCCCCAUCCCUUAGCGAUGAAUCUUUGCUUCACGUUAGAUGUCCGCUGUGAAGAACAUAGGGCAUUAAUCCGAUUUUCACCGGGCUAUUCCCUACUAAGGGGAAGGUUGGAUACGCGUUACUCACCCGUGCGCCGGUCGCCAGCAACAAUAGCAAGCUAUCGUCCUGAUGCCCCUCGACUUGCAUGUGUUAAGCCUGUAGCUAGCGUUCAUC
rnacentral:rRNA from 1 species